AAAUACGAAUCAAAGGUCACAUUUGAAUUUAAGUUUGGCGAUUGCUUGAUCAAAGAAGGAGGAGUUCGCCCAAUAUAUGCCUCAGAAUACAGAGAGUUCCUUCAACAAAAGGAAUUGGAGUUGAAGUUAAUAACAGGAAAAAAGAGGUGUCGGAGUAUUGAUGAUGAGCCACAGCAACCCACUGCCACAAAGAAAUGGAAGAUGUCUUCAAUCCUUCAACCUGUUCCCCUGAGUUCUGAGUCCAAGACAUCUCAUGAUGUUGAUGAGUUGAUAUUUUCUCUAUCACAAUUGAAUUUGGAAAGCACGAAGGAUAGCAUUCGUCACAUAUAAAUUAUCUGUGAUUCCUGUUCUGUGUGUAGCAAUAGGCAAUAUGCAGUUGAGUUGGAUUAAAGAUUGAGGGGUGCUAUUUGUUACCUUGAAGCAGAGUACUAAAGUGAUGCAUGUAUGACUUUGAGCAGAUUAACUUCCUAUUGGUUUUUCACCCUUGCUUCGAAAAUAGUAACUAUUUAGAAUUACUUCUUCUAACAUAACUGUGAGCAGAUUUGUAUUCCUUUUCUACUAUGUUGUCACGGAAAUGAAUUGUAAACAUGAGCUCAAGAACAUAAUGCUGAUCAUACCUGUGAGUUUCUUGCACUUUUA